UAAGGAAUAUUGGUCAAUGGACGAAAGUCUGAACCAGCCAUCCCGCGUGCAGGAUGACUGCCCUAUGGGUUGUAAACUGCUUUUAGUAGAGAAGAAACGCAGUCAUGUAUGAUUGCCUGACGGUACCUACAGAAUAAGCACCGGCUAACUCCGUGCCAGCAGCCGCGGUAAUACGGAGGGUGCGAGCGUUAUCCGGAAUCACUGGGUUUAAAGGGUGCGUAGGCGGGGAAUUAAGUCAGUGGUGAAAUCUUGUCGCUUAACGAUAAAAUUGCCAUUGAUACUGAUUUUCUUGAAUUGGGUUGAGGUUAGCGGAAUGUGACAUGUAGCGGUGAAAUGCAUAGAUAUGUCAUGGAACACCAAUUGCGAAGGCAGCUAGCUGGGCCUUGAUUGACGCUGAGGCACGAAAGCGUGGGUAGCGAACAGGA
rnacentral:rRNA from 1 species